CCAAGCUUAUGGGGGAUUGCCAAAUACAGAGAAGUUGGUUGAUGAUAUUUUAAAAUAUGAUGAGACAUUUGAACAUCAUGUUAAAAGAGUCAAAGAAUUUCUUGAUCGAAGUAGUAAGUUUGGAAUAUCGAUCCCAGAAAAACAGAAGCCCUUUCAAAAAUACCAUCUCUUCAAAACAUGGGAAUGGUCAAUCAAAUGAGUGUGUUUUCAAAGGAAAUAUCCAACUUAUCUGUCACAUUGAGACCUUUAUUAUCCAACAAGAAUGAGUACAUAUGGACUAAAGAACAAGAUGAUAUAUUUGAAGAUGUCAAGAAGUCUUUGGUUAAAUUACCUCAAAAGAGUCACUUCAUGCCGAAUAGAAAAACUGUUUUAGAGACUGAUGCUUCUAAGAAAAAAGGUUUUGGGUAUAUCUUAAGACAAGAAGACAAUGAAGGAAAAUUGCAUCUUAUUGAAGCAAAUUCUAGACGGUUGAGUGCAGCAGAAGAGAAUUAUGGAAUGACAACGCUUGAGAUGAUGACUAUAUAUUGGGCAUCAAAAAAAUUAAAUGUUUAUCAUCAAGGAUUACCUCAUUUUCAUAUUGAAACAGAUCAUCAUGCAAUUGUAAAUUUCCUCAACAAGAAAACUUUGGACGAAAUUGAGAAUCCAAGACAAAAAGAAAUCAAAGAAAGGACGCACGUUAUAACUUCACUGUUGCUUGGAAACCAGGAAGAAAAAUGUUAGCAGCUGAUAAUUUGCCAAGAAAUCCAUACUGGAAUCCGAGGAAGGACGACAUAUUGGAGGAUGUGCGUACGAAUGAGGUUGCAAGAAGAAUAUUAAUAAGAGCUGUAUGUGGUAAAAAAAAAUCAGACGAAUGAGAUCAAGGAUCGAAGAUUAAGAAAAUUGAGAGACCAAGCACAAGAAGAUGUUAAUUAUCUAAAAUUGAUAAAUUUUAUUAAAGACGGGUUUGGAAAUAAUAUCAAAAAUCUUCCUGAAGAAUUAAAACUCUACUGGAAUUUGAGAGUUACUCUAUCGAUUUAUGAAGGUUUGAUCAUCGUCAAUAAUAAAAGCAUUGUUAUACCAAGAGUAGCUCGGAAAGAAAUAUUGGAAAAUCUUCAUGUAUCUCAUCAAGGCAUAGUGAAGACUAAGCAACGUGCCAGAGAGAUAAUUUAUUGGCCGGGAAUAGAUAUGGACAUCGAAGAUAUGGUGAGAAAGUGUGAGGAAUGCCAGAAGUUAUUACCUAGUUUAUUAAUGGAGACUCAAAUUAAAGGACCGAAAAUGACGAGACCAUUUCAAGCAGUAGCUGUGGAUAUAUUUUCUGUAAGUGGAAAGAAUUUCUUGGUUUAUGUAGAUAUACUUUCUGGAUAUCCUGCUUUACAUUAUUUUGAGCUUAGUGGAUGGACAUCAAGAGUGAUUAAGAAAGUAAUGGAGAGAUUCUUCAUUGAUUAUGGUAUACCUGAAGUUUUAGAAUCAGAUGGGGGAACAAACUUCUCGUCCAGGGAAUUUCAAGAAUUUUUAUCCUUUUGGGGAGUUGAAUGGCGAUGUUCUUCUCCACAUAACCCAUAAUCCAAUGGAUUGGCUGAAGCUUGUGUGAAUAAGUUAAAAUAUUUAGUAAAGAAAACUAUGAAUGGAAAUAAGAUAGAUCAGUCAAAAAUCAAUCUUGGAAUUUUAGAAAUGAGAAAUACUCCGAGAAUAGAAGAUGCAUUGAGUCCAACUAAAAUCGUCUUUGGUCGUAGUACUAGAUCUAUUAUGCCUAUGCUCUCUGAAUUCCAUCAAAAGAGAAGCCAAGAACUUUGUAAGGUUCCAAACCCAAUUUAAAAAAAAGGAGAUGGGAAGAAGUUAUCCGUAUUGAAGAUCGGUGAAUCGGUUCGGAUACAAGAUCAUAUAAACAAAAGAUAGAUCCAUCUAGGUACAAUUGAAACACAGGAAUCUCAAAGGCGAUAUCUCAUACGUAUGAAAAAUGGUCGUCUUUGGCAUCGUAAUAGGUGAUUCAUAUAUCUUCAUAGCUAUAGGUGUCAACAUCAAAACUUCAGCACUCAUGUUUUAUAUGGCAAAAAGAAGAGAAGCAAGAUUGUUUAGCGAAAAUAAUGGUGGGAUCUAUUUUUCAUAGAUCUUUUUGUUUUGAUACACUGAACAUAUACAGGAUCUUUGACAUUGCGGAGGAAGAAAUGGAAAGAAAACGUAAAAAAGAAAAGGAUGCAAUUGACAGGAGAAGAGUUCCCUCUUUAAGAACGCUCAAUUGUCCGUCAGACUUCAAAAAAUUAUUUUAAAGGACUGAGUUCUUGUGGAGACAUCAGAAAUUUUUAAAUAUUCCCAUCAAAAGUUCGAAAACAUACUUAGCGGACAAUGAUAUAAUUUCCCAAAAAGACGAAUAUUCAAUUGUCAGAUUUCUGUUUUUACAUCAAAAAACACUUUAAACUAUAUAAAAUAUAAUUUUAGCGUAAUAAAGCUUCAAGACCCGAUGGAAUCGGUGGAAAAAAUUUCACUCUUCUCCUGGAUGUAUUUAUGCCUUAUCUUCUUAAGUUCAGAGCUUCAAUGGAGAAAUAAGGAGAACUUCCCCCCAAAUUAACUCUUGGGAAAAUUACACUCAUCCCAAAGAAAGGAAAUGGUACGAAAUUUUAAUUGGAGGUCAAUUACAAUUUUAAAUGAAACAUAUAGACUUUUGGCGGGAGUCAUUCUACAACAAAUAGAAGGCAUCCUCAACCCCAAGAUUGGGCAUCAUCAAAAAGUUUUUUUUUACAAAAUUGAAAAAUUAAUGACAUUUCUCGAAACAUAGGAUUGUGUAAUUGAUAGAAAUAAAUUCGGAGCAAUUAUUGCGGUAGACUAUCA
rnacentral:lncRNA from 1 species